GAGAUAAUUAAUUUUGAAUUUCUAAUUCAUAAAAAAAUAUUAAUUUAUUUUUAUCUUU
rnacentral:tRNA from 1 species